rnacentral:rRNA from 1 species
AAAUGAAUAGACGGGGGCCCGCACAAGCGGAGGAGCAUGUGGUUUAAUUCGAUGAUACGCGAGGAACCUUACCUGGGCUAGAACCGGCGCUGACGGUCUGUGAAAGCAGACUUCCCUUCGGGGCGGCGUUGGAGGUGCUGCAUGGUUGUCGUCAGCUCGUGCCGUGAGGUGUCGGAUUAAGUUCCAUAACGAGCGCAACCCCUACUGUUAGUUGCCAGCAUGUAAAGAUGGGGACUCUAGCAGGACUGCCGGCGCAAGCCGAGAGGAAGGUGGGGAUGACGUCAAAUCAGCACGGCCCUUAUGUCCAGGGCUACACACGUGCUACAAUGGUCGGUACAGAGGGCAGCUACUUGGCAACAAGAUGCGAAUCUCGAAAACCGGUCUCAGUUCGGAUCGAAGUCUGCAACUCGACUUCGUGAAGUUGGAUUCGCUAGUAAUCGCGCAUCAGCCAUGGCGCGGUGAAUACGUUCCCGGGCCUUGUACACACCGCCCGU